UAAGUUUCAAGCCAAGGAACGUUCCUUUUAACCUCGAUUUUUUUUUUAUUUUUUAGGAGAGAAGAGUCUCCCCAAUGGAAACCACUAGAUGUUUUCAAAACAACAGUGAACCAGACAGAUCAUUAAGAAUGGGAAGUUUAGAGAACCUUUAGUGGGUUCUUUAAGGGUCCAGUGGUUUUGCCCUGUUGGAACCUCACCACAAACUUAACCAAAUAUCACUUUAUCCAUUCAAAUCUUUCAGGGGUCUAAAGCACAAUGCAAACAGUUUCUACUCAUUAUUUUUUUAGGGAUUGGCUCCUAUAAAGGAUGAUGAUUACCAUAGAAUUUUAAAUCCUAACAAUUAUAACCUCUCCCACAUCCCAACCAGCAAUCAGCUAUUCCAAACCAGGAAGGAAAAAUAGUAGACUAUGCUAAGAAAACCCAUAACUGAGAAGAUGGAUCACCACCUAAGCUUCUCAAUUCUCCUACAAAGGGAAGUCAGAACCUAUUGUAGGGAGCUGUUUGGCUUGUGUAAAGAGAAGAUCCAACAUGUCAACUCCCUUCUUAAAAAUCUGCACUGAGCUCAGCACAUUUUAAAGCUCUAAGACAGGACUUCAUCAUCUUCAAGUAUUUUCAUAUAUUACUCAAUUGCUCAAGCUCUUAAAUACAUAAUUGGAAUGAAAAGACAAUUGGAAUGCUGCCAAAAGAGGCAUUAAAAGUCUCAUCAAUCAAUGCUGGUUUUGUGGACUGUGAAUUAACUGAGACUCAAGGAUCUUCUUCUGCCCAGAUUGGGUGUAGACUGGCUACUAGUCAAUUAAAACCCUUCUCCCCACCACAUGAACCCAGACUCAGAGCUCUGACCCAAAGAAAUAGCACUCAGUCAUCUAACCAGAAAAUGAAAGCUGGUGGAGGCAAGUGCACAAGUCCACUGGUAGCCAACAACCCUCUGGGUACCUCACCUUCAUCUCUAUCCAAGGCUGAUCAAAGAGGACGAAAAUCCCAUCUUCUGCUAGAUAUUGAGUCUAUUGCAUACCAAAAAAUCUGUUAA
rnacentral:lncRNA from 1 species